CGUCGCGCGGGGAGGGUCGUCUCUCUUUGGAAUUCCCGUUUUCGAUUUUUUCCCUUCUGCUUUUCUUUUUCAUUCCCGUGAAAGAGACGCUUCCCUUAUGAAGCGUGAUAUCGGCGACACGAGGGCGAGGAAAAUAAAUAGGAAAUAAAAAAGGGAGGGGGGUGACCUCUCGAGAUUUCAAGACUGUCCACUGGGUCACGGGGCUGGGAGUCGUCAGCCCCUCUCUCGAGGGAAGACAUGAGGUCCAAGAGGAACGGCCUCGAGGGCACUUCCGCCCUGAGGAACGGGAAGGAAGGAACGGGAGAGAAGAAGAAGGGGAAGGCUAUCUGCCAGUCUUGCAAGAAGAAGUGCAGCGGCGAGGUGCUGCGAGUGCACAAUAAAUACUUUCACAUAGGCUGCUUCAAGUGCGUCCAGUGCAAUUCGUGCCUGGCGCAGAAUGGAUUUUUCACCCACGAGGGUGCAUACUACUGCCUGAAGGACUACCGCGAACGAUGGGGCACCAAGUGCACCGGUUGCGGGGAGUAUGUCGAGGGUGACAUGGUCACUGCUGGAGGGAAACAUGCAUUUCAUCCCAGCUGCUUUCAUUGUCGGAGAUGUAGACAACCUCUUCUGGGACAAGGGACCAAGGUGACGCUGGUCCAUGGUCAAGUGCUCUGUCAUAAGUGCGUCGGCAUGCCCUCGAGGGAGACGUCCACCCCGGUGGGCAACAGCGCCCCCACCUCGACGGGCGACACCUCGACCGACCCUGGAGCUUGUGCAGGUUGUGGACAACAAUUACGAGAUGGUCAGGCCCUGGUCGCCCUGGACAGACAAUGGCACGUCUGGUGCUUCAAGUGCCACAGCUGCGACACCGUUCUCCAGGGCGAGUACAUGGGAAAAGACGGGGUGCCUUAUUGCGAGAAGGACUACCAGAAGCAGUUCGGGGUGAAGUGCGCCUACUGCAGCCGCUACAUAAGCGGCAAAGUGCUGCAAGCAGGAGACAACCACCACUUCCAUCCCACCUGCGCCAGGUGCACAAAAUGCGGAGACCCCUUCGGGGACGGCGAGGAGAUGUACCUGCAGGGUGCGGCCAUCUGGCACCCUCGUUGCGGCCCAGGGCCUACCGGGUCGAAUGGCAUCGUCAAUGGGCACGGGGAUGCCCACACGCCCCGGCACCGAGAGUCCGAGCGCAUCUCCAGCAGCGCUUCGGAGAUGCAAUUUUCAAUGCGGUCACGCACGCCAAGCCUGAAUGGAUCGCUGGGCAGCCCUUUCAGCAGCCUGAGUCGCAAGUACUACUCUGCAAGAUCCGGCAGUCCUGGACUCACUCUGCGGGAAUAUGGACGGGGUGGAAUCGAGGAUGUCUCCAGGAUUUACACUUACUCUUACCUUACGGAGACGCCAACACAGGGGUAUCUGAAACGUCCUAUUCAGCCUUACGACAAACCGCCGACCAGUCCUCAUUUCCAUAGACCGAGCUCGUCGCGCUCGAUAAGGAGCAGUGGAGGACGCAGCAGCCGGUCAGGAAUGAGAGCCAUGGUGGACUCUUUAAGCGACACGAGGCCGAAAUCCCCGGCAGCGGGGAGCCAGGUCGACAACGACGAGCCUAUCGAAUUGGCACAUUAUCCGGAUGCGAUGAAACCUCCCCCGGGAGCACAGCCUCCGAUCGAGAGGGACGAUUUUCCUGCCCCUCCUUAUCCUUACACCGAUCCCGAACGACGUAGAAGAUGGUCCGGCACAUACAAGGGCGUGUCGACCUCGGACGACGAGGACGUCGUGGAUAAUCAGGCGUAUAUCCAGGAGGCCGAACAGAAGCUGAAAAAGGAGCGAGAUGAGUUGAGCAAGAUCGACACGGGCAUCGCUAAAGUGUUCCUACAGGACCGGGAGAAGGACCGGGAGAACCUGCGACACAAGGCUGCCAACGUCGACCCCAGGAACGCGUCGAGGACGCCAUCUGCCGCUCGAGAGCCGACCUACAGAUUGCGCUACGAAAGCCCAGUCGGUGCUUCGCCCUCCAGGAACAUCGACCACGCGAAGCCCUGGGAGGACGACGACGGCAUCAGCUGCAGGUCGAGCGUAGGGCCGGCCUACAAUGCUGGGAGGUCUUCGGCUCGUUCCCCGGCUCCCAGAAACUAUCCGCCCCUUGGUACUCAACGAGCGUUCACCCUUCCAACCGCCUCUAGGCACUAUCAGUCGUUGUGAGCUCCCUUCGGACCGUCCCAAAACCGGGAUACGGCCUGGCACCGCGAAGUCACACCUUCUCGUCGACCGGCGGUUCGGUUUCUGCUCUCCCCGUUGACUACUCCUUC
rnacentral:misc_RNA from 1 species